CUAAGUGGGAGUUGGGAACAGAACAUCGGGUCGAGGUCUCGUAUAUAAUUUUCCCAAGGUCUUUCAAAGCGGGGAAAAGUGAGUGAGCGAAGCCGUGGAUCUCAUCUAUAAUCCCAUAAUGUUAUUUCUUUAGUUCCGUGUUCGGUGUCUAAACCUAACCCACAAGCGGUAGAAUUUUGUAUUCGUAGAAGAUAUAGAUCUCAUUUGACUUGACAUCCACACGUAUGACAUAAUAUUGUGCGCUUUCUUUCACAUAACAUAAAUGUCGAAAGAUCGGAUCUCAGACUCAAAAGGAGUUGUC
rnacentral:lncRNA from 1 species